rnacentral:rRNA from 1 species
UACAGAGGUCUCGAGCGUUAGGCGGAAUCACUGGGCUUAAAGCGUGUGUAGGUGGAUCGUUAAGUACCUUGUGAAAUCCCACGGCUUAACCGUGGAACUGCUUGGUAUACUGGCGGUCUUGAGCCAGCUAGGGGCUACCGGGACAAAUGGUGGAACGGUGAAAUGCUGUAGAUAUCAUUUGGAACGCCAAUGGUGAAAACAGGUAGCUGGGGCUGUGCUGAC